rnacentral:lncRNA from 1 species
UUAUUUUGUCUUUUGUAAAUAAGUCAUAAAAGAAUAAAAAAAUUAUAAAAAUAAAAAAAAUUAUAAAAAUAAAAUAAAUCAAGAAAAGAAAGAAUAUGGGAUACGCGUAUUCCCUUUGUUUGCCAACUCUAAAUUUCAACAUCUCCUUGAUUUCUCCUGGAUUCAAGUUUCAAAAAAAUCAAUUCUCCCAACAAUUCCAAAUCAUCAUCAAAACAUUCCUAAUUCAGAACAAUCAACAUUAAAGUCUAAACCUAAUUCCUUUGCUAAUAUAUAACAAGAGUUUUACAACAAGAAAAGGGAGAGAGAAAAAACAAUAACAACGGCCGCAACACCGUUACUGCGCCUUCUCUCCACCAUCCACCAACACCAUCAUUACCAAUCACACAUCAGCCACCAUCUUCAACAUAUCACCACCAAUACAAACCACCCAUAAAAUCAAAAACCCACUGUCAAAAAACAAUAACAUCAAAAAGAAGAAAAAUCAAAGCAAAGAAGAAUAGAAACAAAAUC